GAUAGAAUUAAGGUAAAUGGCACGCAAGCAUCUGUCCUAUGUCUUUGGCAUUGAAGCAAAGUACUGUAUACUGCAGUACUUCUAACAUUGGGGUCAAGGAACACUUGGAGUCCACAAACUGUAGAUUGGCACUGACCAGGAGAGAUCCGAAGGAAGAUAUUAUGCCAGUCCUUAAGAGUUUGUGCUGACUCCCCAAGAAAAUAUAUAUUUUUUUAAAUUAAAUUUAUUGCAGCUCUCUAAUCGCCUCCACAGCCAUCAAUCACAGGCGAAUGUCCUUCUAGAUUGUUUUAGGCCCCACAUCAACAAUCGUUGACGAGUGUGUCUGGGCUCCGUCAAGUCGAUGCUUCCACUGCCCGGUGGCGUCAACGUGCAUGUGACACACCGCCAGGUGAAAGUUUACAAAUCACUGGAGGCUUACACUUUGUAAGCAGAUGGAUACAGAGUGUAAACUUCAAAAUCUUAUCUGAAGGAGGAGUCCUGUCCGGUGCACGAACUCAUAAUAGCAGCUGGAGCACCACCUGCGUCUUGUCCAGUGCUGGGGUUAAUGGUACAGAGCAGUCAGCUGAGCAAGACCACUCCCGGAUUUGGACGCAUUCCCCAGUUUCCAACCCAAUUCCUGGGCCUGAUUUUCCAAGCCGAGCUAAUGGAGAGUGGAGUGGCUGGGGAGCAAGAAAGCUGGAGGUCCAGGAGGACAGUCGGAGACCAGAAGGAGGGCAAAAUUCGGAAGGCGGCUGGGUUUUAAAUGGCAGCACUCCUCAGCGUUUUCACGAGCGCGAUCAUCAUUAUGGGCUGCUUCCGCUAACCCCGGUCGAAGCCCUUCCCGUCUUGUGACUUUUGUUGACAUUAGCAUCCUUGGCGGAUGCGGUCUUCACAAGGACCACAAAAACAAUUAA